CAGUCGCCGCGGUAAAACGGAGGGUGCAAGCGUUACUCGGAAUUACUGGGCGUAAAGCGUGCGUAGGUGGUGGUUUAAGUCCGUUGUGAAAGCCCUGGGCUCAACCUGGGAAUUGCAGUGGAUACUGGGUCACUAGAGUGUGGUAGAGGAUAGUGGAAUUUCCGGUGUAGCAGUGAAAUGCGUAGAGAUCGGAAGGAACAUCUGUGGCGAAGGCGACUAUCUGGGCCAACACUGACACUGAGGCACGAAAGCGUGGGGAGCAAACAGGAUUAGAUACCCCCGUAGUCCCUGUCUCUUAUAC
rnacentral:rRNA from 1 species